CUCUGGGAGUUGGUGAUGGACAGGGAGGCCUGGCAUACUGCGAUUCAUGGUGUCUCAAAGAGUUGGACAUGACUGAGCAACUGAACUGAACUGAAAGACAAUCUGUAACUGGAAAAUGCUGAGAGCUCACAAAGCAAACCUACCCAGAUCCACUCUUUUUCCUCCCUGGCCCUACAGAUAACCAUCACCUCCACUAUCCCUCAUCUCCCUGAGCCUGUUUUCUCAUCUGCAAAAUAGGGAACCGGACUCCAUGAUUUCUUGGGCUUUGAAGGCCUGAGAUUCUGAAGUUCUGUGAUUCUGUACACCCUAAGUCAAUAUUUAACAGAGACGCCAAAUGCGAUAAACAUUGUUAAGCCACAACUGACAUGCUUAUGCAUAUGCUGCUAAAAAUAUUUAACAGAGUGAUAAGGGAUCUAGUCAACCAUAUUGUAAUAAUUUUGUAUGGUGAGAGAUGGUUACUGGACUUGUGGUGGUGAUGAUUUCGUAUUGUAUUUGAUUGUCAGGUCACAAUGCUAUACACCUGAAACUAACAUAAUGUUGUAUAUCAACUAUACUUCAAUAAAAAGGAUAUUUAAUAAUGCAAACAAAACUCUAUAUGAAAAGGAAAUAUCUUCAUUCAGAAAGCAGAUGAUUAAGAGGAUAAAUAUUUCUAAAUGGUUUGUUGCACUGGGAUUUUUGUUCCCCAAUACUAUUUCCUGUGUGCGCCCUGACAAAUAAUGUUAAGAUGUAAAGCACUCUUAGGGGCAUGGAAAUAGCCUUGUUCAGUUGGAUGUUAAAAUGACAUUCUACUUACAUUAUGCUCUAUGAAUGGAAGGUUAAUGGAAUUGUGCAUGUUUCAGUUUUCACUCUGCAGGUUAUUUUGUAAUAAGGAUGAGACUGUCCUACCUUUAAUCUGGUGUUUUAUUAAAUUAAAUGCAUUGCAAAGAAGGGCCAUUUUANNNNNNNNNNNNNNNNNNNAUUCACAAGCAAGAGGGCCUGCCAAAUGCUUCUCUUGUUGAUUCUUUUAAGAGUCUCCUAUUUCCAGUGCAUGUGAUAUAAGCCCAUACUUCGUACAUGGAAGAAAAAUAUUAUUAAUUUCUUUAAAUCAAAGGUCUUUAAACAAAGGCAGGAACUUCCUUUUGGGUUUUUAUGAUUUGCUAUUAUCUCACCUAAAAAAAUAAAGACUUAAGCAUAUGAGUGGUUAACUCAAGGGUUCUCAACUAAGGGCUUACCAUAUCCCUUAACUCAGUAGUUCUUACCCGGGGAGUUAUUGGCAUUGGUGGAAUGAUAUUCAAUAUGUGGUUUGCAUGACUAACCAUGCAUUGCAAAGUAUUUGGCAUUCCUGUCUCCCACCCACUAAACACCAGAAGCAUGCUCUGACCAUUGUGACAACCAUACUUGCUCUAUACUCAUCACCAAAUGCCAACGCCUCUGAAAGAGUCCUCUGCAGAAAGGAGGUCUGGUAAUAAGAGAUUAGUUUUCAAAAGCCCAAAGAGGGUCUGUGUCCACAUGUGGAGAAUGUGACAUUUCAUCAUUCCAGUCCNNNNNNNNNNNNNNNNNNNNNNNNNNNNNNNNNNNNNNNNNNNNNNNNNNNNNAUAUUAAGAGGAGAAUCAUAAGAGAGAAUGUUUGAGAAUCAUACGACUUAUAAAAAACCGUAUACUUUAUCCUAGAUCUUGAAUAAGCAUCAAAGCUUGCAGCAUGUAACUUUAUAGAAAACAUACCCUUUUUUCUUUUUUGUACUUUAUGAAAUAGACUACAUGUGUCCAUGGUAAAAUAACUCUUGAGAAGUAAAGAUCUUGUGUAACGAGAAACACAACAAGAGAAUGAGUGGAUUUUAUUUCCUUGUUCCAGAUUCUUCUGUGGUGCCAAGAUUUUGAAUUCCAAUGAAGUUCAACAUUUUUGGGUGUUGGGUGCUAAAUGAGACAGAUGCUCUCUUGGGCCCAUGAAAGAUGAAUCAGACAUGUUCUCUGCUUUUGAGGCUCACAGCUGUGCCUGGGAGGCUGACUGCUGGAAAACCAGAGUGUAAAGUAAUAAGUACCACCAUGGAGGUAUGUUUACAUGCGAUGGGAAUCAGGGAAAGGGGUAGCUGAUUUCACCCAGGCAUCAGGGAGUGGUGGUGGUGGGAGGAGGCAGAGCUGGCAGAUCCAGGGAAGGCUUCAAAGAAAAGGGAUCAGAUGAGUGGGCCUUAAGGAAUAGUACAUGAGCCUUUGCCAGGUGGUGAUGGGAUAGGGAACAGAAUUCUAGUAGCAGCAUAUACAUGGUCACAAAGGUGUGGAAAAGAAUGGAGAAAAUCCAGUGUGGUGAGGCAUUAGUGGAAGGGUGCUGGAGCAGGUGGUAAAAGAUAAGUCAGGGUAGCAGCGUUUAGAGGUCCUGAUAUACCAGGCUAAGAAGUUGGAACUUAAUUUAUAGGUAGAAAGGAAGCAAUUUAGAUUUUAAGCAGGAAAGUAAAAUAAUCAGAUUUACAUAGGGACAGAACUCUGAUGGCAAUAUAGGAGAUGGAUAAAUGUAGACAGUUUCAACCAGGGAUACCAGGUAAGUGAACUAACUGAAUACUUCACUUUUAACCAUUCCUUCUUAAGACUUGAGAAACCAAGUUAAUUCAUAGCAAAUUAAAGGCAGGCAAUAAAU
ensembl:lncRNA